GAUGAACGCUGGCGGUGUGCCUAAUACAUGCAAGUCGAGCGAACAGACGAGGAGCUUGCUCCUCGGACGUUAACGGCGGACGGGUGAUUAACACGUGGAUAACCUAUCUAUAAGACUGGGAUAACUUCGUGAAACCGGAGCCAAUAGCGGAUAAUAUAUUGAACCGCAUGGUUCAAUAGUGAAAGACGGUUUUGCUGUCACUUAUAAAUGGAUCCGCGCCGCAUUAGCUAGUUGGUAAGGUAACGGCUUACCAAGGCAACGAUUCGUAGCCGACCUGAGAGGGUGAUCGUCGCCAGUGGAACUGGGACACGGGCCAGACUCCGACGGGGGGCCGCAGUAGGGAAUCUCCCGCAGUAGGCGAAAGCCUGACGGAGCAACGCCGCGUGGGUGAUGAAGGUCUUCGGAUCGUAAAGCUCUGUUACUGGGGAAGGAAAACUGUGUAAGUAACUAUACACGUAUUGACGGUACCUGACCAGACAGCCACGGCUAACUCCGUG
rnacentral:rRNA from 1 species